AGAUCUCCCUCGCUCCCUCCAGACCAGAGGUAUAGGGGGGGGGGGGCAGCAGUCAGAAGGUAGUGCGUCUGGUAGUCUAGGCAUUCCAGUUCCACGAGAGAACUCAAAGAUUUCGACACACACCUCAGGUGGACAGAUAAUGUGUUAAUGUGGUGUGGCUCAAGCUGAUGUCGAACAGAAGCGUUGUCCCGUUCCAGACUCCCUGCCGUGGUCCUCUGCUGCUGCUGUGUGGUGGGGAAGACUUACUGCAACAGAGUGCAUUGCACCAUUUAACAUUGAUAUUGACUCUUGGAGUUUCCCCUAAAAUAAUGUAUUGAACCAAAAUGGAUAUUUUCCAGGCUUAUGGUGGUGUCCACAUGAACAUAUCCAACACCCCCUGUAAUCUACACCAUGGUGCAUUGGAGUAAUCCAGUAGAUUUGAAUGGGGUAAAAUGUAUUUACUGAACCAGGUGACAUAGCUGUAUUUAAACCAGUGGCCUAGUCAGAUCCAAACUGUCCUCUUGAUUAAGGUCCUGGUGAUACUGGUCCUUAAAGGGGUCAGGUCUGGUCUGGACUGAACUCUGGUGAUGAUUCCCAAUCUUUCAAACAUUUUAUUUUAUGCUUGCCACAAAAUAUUUUCUGACCAAAGUUUUAGCUGUAGCUUUCAUAUUCUUUCUGAAUUAAUACUUUCCAAAUUCACUUUACAUAUUCUCUGGGGUUUUGUGUAUACUGUAUAUUUGUUAUUGAUGUUUCAACAUAUUUUUCAGUAUAAUAUUUGGUUGUUUGAUUUCGUUGUAUUUUACUGUGGUCUAAUUGUUAUUAAGUGUAAGUACGUGUAUCUGGUUGAAUUGAACUUCAACCACCAAGGAACUAUCUGCCUGACAGAUAUUGUAACAAACUGUAAAGGUGUCCGCAUACAUAAGUUCGGUUUGCUCCUAGCAGGCUAGGCGAAGUGAACGUCUGUUCUCGCAGACUCCCUUAAAAUACCUUUGCUUGAAAAACAAGGAAAAAGCUGCAAUAUUACUGUUUGACGCCGUAGCCAGUACACUUUGUCAAAAUAGUCCUGAUUAAUCCAAGAUAACUCAAGAAAUCUGUAAUUCAUUUUGACGGUUUUGCCAAGGUCUUACAUCUAACCAAGAUGUUUGGUACAGUAUUUGUCAAGUGACAAAAUGUGCAUGAAAACAAGAAAAGAUUUUGAAAUUCUUCUUUAUUCCAUGAAUUCCAGUUUGAGGUUUCAACUAUUGACAACCUUCCCUCUCCCAAGCACAGCAGACACAAAAUUGCAUGAUAGUGGUAGAGUUCCGAAAAUAAAAUACAAAAAAAAAAAAUUACAGAGGUAAGGAAAAUAUCCACCAUGUCUGUAUGCCUUCUCAAA